rnacentral:rRNA from 1 species
GUUGUAUGGUUAAGUGACUAAGCGUACACGGUGGAUGCCUUGGCAGUCAGAGGCGAUGAAAGGCGUAAUAACUUGCGAUAAGCCCAGAUUAGGUAGUAAUAACCUUUUGAGUCUGGGAUUCCUGAAUGGGGAAACCCACUUACAUAAGUAAGUAUCCUGUUGUGAAUACAUAGCAACAGGAGGCAAACCGGGGGAACUGAAACAUCUAAGUACCCGAGGAAGAGAAAUCAACCGAGAUUCCGAAAGUAGCGGCGAGCGAAAUUGGAUUAGCCCUUAAGCUUUUAAUGAUGCAGGUGAAGAGUCUGGAAAGUCUCGCAAUAAAGGGUGAUAGCCCCGUAACCGACACAUCAUAAUCAGUGAAAACGAGUAGGGCGGGACACGUGAUAUCCUGUCUGAAUAUGGGGGGACCAUCCUCCAAGGCUAAAUACUACUGACUGACCGAUAGUGAACCAGUACCGUGAGGGAAAGGCGAAAAGAACCCCUGUGAGGGGAGUGAAAUAGAACCUGAAACCGUGUACGUACAAGCAGUAGGAGCACCUUCGUGGUGUGACUGCGUACCUUUUGUAUAAUGGGUCAGCGACUUAAUUUUAGUAGCAAGGUUAACCGUUUAGGGGAGCCGUAGGGAAACCGAGUCUUAACUGGGCGUACAGUUGCUAGGAUUAGACCCGAAACCAGGUGAUCUAGCCAUGGGCAGGUUGAAGGUUGAGUAACAUCAACUGGAGGACCGAACCGACUAAUGUUGAAAAAUUAGCGGAUGACUUGUGGCUAGGGGUGAAAGGCCAAUCAAACCUGGAGAUAGCUGGUUCUCCCCGAAAGCUAUUUAGGUAGCGCCUCGGACGAAUACUACUGGGGGUAGAGCACUGUUAAGGCUAGGGGGUCAUCCCGACUUACCAACCCUUUGCAAACUCCGAAUACCAGUAAGUACUAUCCGGGAGACACACGGCGGGUGCUAACGUCCGUCGUGGAGAGGGAAACAACCCAGACCGCCAGCUAAGGUCCCAAAGUAUAGCUAAGUGGGAAACGAUGUGGGAAGGCUCAGACAGCCAGGAUGUUGGCUUAGAAGCAGCCAUCAUUUAAAGAAAGCGUAAUAGCUCACGGUCGAGUCGGCCUGCGCGGAAGAUGUAACGGGGCUAAGCUAUACACCGAAGCUGCGGCUACGUACCUUAGGGUGCGUGGGGUAUCAGAAGUGCGAAUGCUGACAUGAGUAACGAUAAAGGGAGUGAAAAACUCCCUCGCCGGAAGACCAAGGGUUCCUGUCCAACGUUAAUCGGGGCAGGGUAAGUCGACUCCUAAGGCGAGGCCGAAAGGCGUAGUCGAUGGGAAACGGGUUAAUAUUCCCGUACUUCUUACAAUGGGGGACGGAGAAGGCUAGGUGGGCCUGGCGACGGUUGUCCAGGUUCAAGUACGUAGGCGGAAAGUUUAGGUAAAUCCGGACUUUCUUAACGCUGAGAUACGAUGUCGAGCUACUACGGUAGUGAAGUCAUUGAUGCCAUGCUUCCAGGAAAAGCCUCUAAGCUUCAGAUUGUAAGGAAUCGUACCCCAAACCGACACAGGUGGUCGGGUAGAGAAUACCAAGGCGCUUGAGAGAACUCGGUGAAGGAACUAGGCAAAAUGGUACCGUAACUUCGGGAGAAGGUACGCUCUUAUCAGUGAAGUCCCUUGCGGAUGGAGCAGACGAGAGUCGCAGAUACCAGGUGGCUGCAACUGUUUAUUAAAAACACAGCACUGUGCAAAAUCGUAAGAUGACGUAUACGGUGUGACGCCUGCCCGGUGCCGGAAGGUUAAUUGAUGGGGUUAGUCUUCGGACGAAGCUCUUGAUCGAAGCCCCGGUAAACGGCGGCCGUAACUAUAACGGUCCUAAGGUAGCGAAAUUCCUUGUCGGGUAAGUUCCGACCUGCACGAAUGGCGUAAUGAUGGCCACGCUGUCUCCACCCGAGACUCAGUGAAAUUGAAAUCGCUGUGAAGAUGCAGUGUACCCGCGGCUAGACGGAAAGACCCCGUGAACCUUUACUACAGCUUGGCACUGAACAUUGAACCUACAUGUGUAGGAUAGGUGGGAGACUAUGAAAUUGCGUCGCUAGAUGUGAUGGAGUCGUCCUUGAAAUACCACCCUUGUAGUUUUGAUGUUCUAACGUUGGUCCCUGAAUCGGGAUUACGGACAGUGCCUGGUGGGUAGUUUGACUGGGGCGGUCUCCUCCCAAAGAGUAACGGAGGAGCACGAAGGUGGGCUAAACACGGUUGGACAUCGUGUGGUUAGUGCAAUGGCAUAAGCCCGCUUGACUGCGAGAAUGACAAUUCGAGCAGGUGCGAAAGCAGGUCAUAGUGAUCCGGUGGUUCUGAAUGGAAGGGCCAUCGCUCAACGGAUAAAAGGUACUCCGGGGAUAACAGGCUGAUACCGCCCAAGAGUUCAUAUCGACGGCGGUGUUUGGCACCUCGAUGUCGGCUCAUCACAUCCUGGGGCUGAAGUCGGUCCCAAGGUAUGGCUGUUCGCCAUUUAAAGUGGUACGCGAGCUGGGUUUAGAACGUCGUGAGACAGUUCGGUCCUAUCUGCCGUGGGCGUUGGAAAAUUGAAAGGGGCUGCUCCUAGUACGAGAGGACCGGAGUGGACGAACCUCUGGUGUUCGGUUGUCAUGCCAAUGGCAUUGCCCGGUAGCUAAGUUCGGAAUCGAUAACCGCUGAAAGCAUCUAAGCGGGAAGCGAGCCUUGAGAUGAGUUUUCCCUGGCACUAUAAGUGUCCUAAAGGGUUGUCGUAGACUACGACGUUGAUAGGCAGGGUGUGUAAGUGCUGCGAGGCAUUGAGCUAACCUGUACUAAUUGCCCGUGAGGCUUAACCAUACAACACCCAAGGGGUUU